UACAGAGGGGGCGAGCGUUGUUCGGAAUUACUGGGCGUAAAGGGCGCGUAGGCGGCCUUCUAAGUCGAACGUGAAAUCCCCGGGCUCAACCCGGGAACUGCGUCCGAUACUGGGAGGCUUGAAUCCGGGAGAGGGAUGUGGAAUUCCUGGUGUAGCGGUGGAAUGCGCAGAUAUCAGGAGGGAACACCGGUGGGCGAAGGCGGGUCUCUGGGCAGUGAACUGACGCUGGAGGAGCGAAAGCCGUGGGGAGCGAACAGG
rnacentral:rRNA from 1 species